UUCCGGUUGAUCCCGCCGGACCUGACUGCUAUCGGAUUGAUACUAAGCCAUGCGAGUCUUUGUAGUAAUACAAGGCAUACGGCUCAGUAACGCGUAGUCAACCUACCCUAUGGACAAGAAUAAUCUCGGGAAACUGAGCAUAAUUCUUGAUAGAUCAUAAUGCCUGGAAUGGUUUAUGGUUAAAAUGAUUCGUCGCCAUAGGAUGGGACUGCGGCCUAUCAGCUUGUUGGUGAGGUAAUGGCCCACCAAGGCGAUAACAGGUACGGGCUCUGAGAGGAGAAGCCCGGAGAUGGGUACUGAGACAAGGACCCAGGCCCUAUGGGGCGCAGCAGGCGAGAAAACUUUGCAAUGUGCGAAAGCACGACAAGGUUAGUCCGAGUGAUUUCUGCUAAAGAGAUCUUUUGCUAGUUAUAAAACCACUAGUGAAUAAGGGGUGGGCAAGUUCUGGUGUCAGCCGCCGCGGUAAAACCAGCACCUCAAGUGGUCAGGAUGAUUAUUGGGCCUAAAGCAUCCGUAGCCGGCUCUGUAAGUUUUCGGUUAAAUCUAUGCGCUCAACGUAUGGGCUGCCGAAAAUACUGCAGAGAUAGGGAGUGGGAGAGGUAGACGGUACUCGGUAGGAAGGGGUAAAAUCCUUUGAUCUAUCGAUGACCACCUGUGGCGAAGGCGGUCUACCAGAACACGUUCGACGGUGAGGGAUGAAAGCUGGGGGAGCAAACCGGAUUAGAUACCCGGGUAGUCCCAGCCGUAAACGAUGCAGACUCGAUGAUGCAUUGGCAUAUAGCCAGUGCAGUGUCGCAGGGAAGCCGUUAAGUCUGCCGCCUGGGAAGUACGUACGCAAGUAUGAAACUUAAAGGAAUUGGCGGGGGAGCACCACAAGGGGUGAAGCCUGCGGUUCAAUUGGAUUCAACGCCGG
rnacentral:rRNA from 1 species